rnacentral:rRNA from 1 species
UACGGGGGGGGGCAAGCGUUUGUUCGGAAUUACUGGGCGUAAAGGGCGCGUAGGUGGCCUGUUAAGUCGAACGUGAAAUCCCCGGGCUCAACCCGGGAACUGCGUCCGAGACUGGCAGGCUCGAAUCCGGGAGAGGGAUGUGGAAUUCCAGGUGUAGCGGUGAAAUGCGUAGAUAUCUGGAGGAACACCGGUGGCGAAGGCGGCAUCCUGGACCGGUAUUGACGCUGAGGCGCGAAAGCCAGGGGAGCAAACGGG